AAGUGACCCUGAAUCCUUUCCUAUUUGGCCAGAAGGGAGGGAGUCCUUUUACCUCCUUUUGUGUGUGCGUGUGUUUCCGCACCGUGGACUCUGAGCCAGUCAGUGUCGGGGCUCUGAGCCGGCCCUCAGCAGAGCCCUCGCGGAAAGCACGCUCAAGUCUGCCCGGUGCACAGGCUGCCAGAGUCAACCCAAUCUAAAAGGAGGAUUCCACAGAGAGACGGAGAAGAGAACAGUAAGCUGAGAUGGAAGAGCCGGGGAAAGCAGGAGGCCGUCGCUGUGAGGUCCUCUUCCUUCAGCUGGAUUAAAUAAUAAUUACAUCCUUCAGCGAAGGUUCCUUGCUGCUACAGAAGCGGAAUCUUUGCUGUUCCCCGAUAUUUUAAAAAAUACAUCCACUGGAGUAAAGACGUUGGGGUUGGCAUGUAUUUGGCAUGAAAGGAGCCUCUUCCAAUCUGGGGCAGCGUCAGCAAUGCUCUGCUUGGUUAUUUAUGUGUGAAGGCUGCCGUCACCAUCAACAUCACUUCUAAAAUCUUCGUUUUCUUGCAACACACUGCCUUAUUGAAAAAAAGUUACAUGCACAAUACUUCAGAUUUUUAUUAGCUGAAUUUUGUAUAUGAAAUAUAUUUUUUAAAAGAGGGAAGAGUAUCACUCUAAGUCAAGAAAAUAAAUAUCUCUGUAUAAAUCCAUGAGCCUCAUAUUCCAGGUUUAACUAAUAUUUAGUAAUAGUAAGGAUUGAAUGGAGUUCUAACCGCUAUAGAAAAGGAGGAAGGGGAUACAAUUAAUAGUGGAAGGCGGGACACAGUCUCUGAGAAAGGACUCUGAGAAAUGAGGGGGACCCCCUGGAAUGCUUCGUGAGGGUUCUCCGUGAACUCCACCCCCAUGCACAGAAGACGCCUUCUGUGAUAUCCUCUUGUUGGAGAAGACUCACACUCCCAACAGAGUGAUUAUGACUUUGUGAAUGGUGUGCAAGAAACACACAGCAUGGUGAAAUAAAUAAAAUAUAUUCAAGUCAGAAAGACUGUUCUUGAAGGAUCACAAUUUCAGCAGACAAAAAUAUUAGUUUUGGUCCUAGAAGAUAUGUGGCACAGGAUCAAAUGAGGGAUGUGUCGAUUUCCAGGUAUAUUCAUGUUCCAGUGAUGCUAGCUGAUAAAGAACACCGAGUUGUGGGGUACGCCCAGCCCGCUAUGCUGGCUGAACUUCACCAGCAACCUCACUUAACUUUAUCUGUAGUUUGCUAUGUCUGUUUGCAUAAAUGCACAUGUAAAUAAAUAUUGGCAUUGUGAAUUGGACACUGAAUAUUCAUCAUGGCACUGUGUGAAGUCAAUCUUACCAUCAACAUGAUUGUGGGUUCUUUAUAAAGUCAAAGUUAAAAGCACCCUUUAGGUUUUAUUUUGGGGACAUAGCUGAACUAGGUAGGUAAACUUAACUCACAUUUGAGGUUACCUUCCCAGUGACCAAGCUGAUCAGGUCAGGUCAGCAGCAACUCUUGCUGAGACAGGGCUUCGUUCUACUGGGCGUGCCCUCUUUAUACGAUGGAGAGCUGUUCAGAGGAGAUGAAAAGACAGAACAGGAGGGGCAUUGUAAGUUCAUGAGAGAGGAAGUGAAUCACGUGUUCCCAAUGCAAACCUCAAAAAUGGUUUGGGGACAGAUCUAACCAUAAGCGAGGGCUUUAAAUAUCCAGACUUCAGUUUGAAGCCUCAUUCAAUGAAAGCAGAGCAGUUGGUAGAUUUUCCACUUGUUUUGAUGGCAGUUCUAUCUCUCAAAAGUUAGAUGAAGAUACAAUGGGUAUUGCUAUGUGGAACAAGUUCAGAUCAACAAGGGGAGCUCUUAGUAAUUAUAAAAACCUGAGGUGUAAAAGAGAAUGUCAUCUGAACCACAAAGACAUUUCUGAGUAUAGUGGUUAGAUUAGGCACACAUAAAUUUAGAAAUUCAAUUUUCAAAAUAUCCUGUGUAGAUAGGUAUAAUCCCAUUUAUUUCUUGUGUGAGUUUCCUUUCUAUCACUUUCUGUUUUACCCUCUGGAAAUUACUCUAUAUUCUCAAAUAAAAGGUAUGACAAAAAUAACACAUGAAAAGACAAAAAAGAUGGAGAAGUACUCAUUUCCUGUUUUCCACCUAAAUUUUUUUUUCAGGUAUAAGAAUCCUAUUGGAAAUGGUAAGACUGAUUACCAGAAAAGGGACUCAACAUUAGAUCAGUGAUUAUAAAAGUGAGCCUGUUAUGGUUUACACAUUUUUAAGUCUCUGGCCCAAAUGGAUUGUGUCAUAGGAAACUGAGAAAAAACUUACAUUCGACUGUAGCGACAUUAUCAGACGCCUCUGGGGGAUGC